GAAGCAGGGGUGUCCGCGUAAGCGGGCUGAGAGUAGGCUGUUUGCCUUAACCCUUUAACCUGAUUCGGUUCAUACCGGCGUAGGAAGUCUUUUUA
rnacentral:ncRNA from 1 species